GUCUGUGGCCAUACUACCCGGAAUGCCCCAGAUCCUGUCUGAUCUCAGAAGUUAAGUAGGGUCGGGCCUGGUUAGUACUUGGAUGGGAAAGGAGAGAGUCUGUACACACCUGGGAAGGAAAGGUUAAUUCAGGUG
rfam:Chlorocebus sabaeus isolate 1994-021 chromosome 23, whole genome shotgun sequence.